rnacentral:rRNA from 1 species
CCGUGCAAUUCGGAUUAAUCUGAGUUAAUAAUUAUUUAUUGUUUUUUUUAUUAAGUUUAUUUUUUUAAAAAAAUCAUUUGUUUGUUUUUGUAUUUGUUAGAGAUUAAAUUAUUAAAAUUAUAAGUUAUUUUGUACUGUAGGGGGUUAUUUAAAGUUAUUUUUGUAUUUAGUAAGUUUAAUUAUUUUUUAGUACCUUGUGUAUCAGGGUUAAUUAAUUAAAUUUUAUUUAUAGUUUAUGUUUCUCGAUUCUGUUGGAGUUAAUCAUUUAAUUAUUUUAUAGUAAUAUAUUUAUUUAUAAUAUUUGGUUAGUAAUGAAAUGUUAGUCGUUAAUGGGGGUUUCUAGUUUUUUGGGAAAUAAAUUUAAUUUACAUUUUUUAUUUAAUUGACUUAAUUUUUUGGGUUAAUUUUAUUUAAUAUGAUUAUUUAAGGGGAUAAGCUCUUGUAUAAAUUUAUUAUAAGAAUUAGUUUUAAUAAAGUUUUAUGGUUUUAAUGAUAAUUAUUAAUUUGAAUUUGUUAAAAUAUUAUUUUUAUAUUUUUGUAUUUAAUAUUCUUUAAUUUAUUUACUAUAACGUUAUAAUUAAUUUUUAUUUAUUUGAGAUAAUGAUUAAAUUAGUAUAUUGAUUUUUUAUGUAAUUUUUUUUUGAGGGGUUAUUUUGAGGAAUUAGGCAAAAUUAUUUGUUCGCCUGUUUAUCAAAAACAUCUUUUCUUGAAUUGUGUAUGAAGUAUAACCUGCCCAAUGAGAGUAUAUUCAAUGGCCGCGGUAUUUUGACCGUGCAAAGGUAGCAUAAUCAUUAGUCUUUUAAUUGGGGGCUGGAAUGAAUGGUUGGACGAGACAGAAUCUGUCUUUAUUUAAUUUGUUUUGAAUUUAAUUAUUAAGUUAAAAAGCUUAAAUUUUUUUAUGGGACGAGAAGACCCUAUAGAGUUUAUAUAAAUAUCUGCUUUAUUAUGAGUUUGUUUAUUUAUUAUUAGUUGGGUUUAUUUUGUUGGGGUGAUGGGAAGAUAAAUAUAACUCUUUCUUUUAAUAAUUAAUGAUUUUUAUGAUUUUGAUCCAUUAUUAGUGAUUAUAAGACUAAAUUACCUUAGGGAUAACAGCGUAAUCUUUCUUGAGAGUUCUUAUUGACAGAAAGGGUUGCGACCUCGAUGUUGGAUUAAGAUAAAGUCUGAGUGUAGAAGCUUAGAAAUUAAGUCUGUUCGACUUUUAAAAUCUUACAUGAUCUGAGUUCAAACCGGCGUGAGCCAGGUUGGUUUCUAUCUAUUAUAAGUAUUUAUAUCUUAGUACGAAAGGACCAGAUAUUUAAAAUAAUUUUUAUUUUUUGAUUAUUAUUACUAUUUUGGCAGAUAAGUGCGGUAGAUUUAGAAUCUAUAAAUGUGGAUUU